GGGGAAUAUUGGGCAAUGGGCGAAAGCCUGACCCAGCAACGCCGCGUGAGGGAAGAAGGGUUUCGGCUCGUAAACCUCUGUCCUAUGGGACGAAGGAAGUGACGGUACCAUAGGAGGAAGCCCCGGCUAACUACGUGCCAGCAGCCGCGGUAAUACGUAGGGGGCGAGCGUUGUCCGGAAUGAUUGGGCGUAAAGGGCGCGUAGGCGGCCUGCUAAGUCUGGAGUGAAAGUCCUGCUUUCAAGGUGGGAAUUGCUUUGGAUACUGGUGGGAUGGAGUGCAGGAGAGGAAAGCGGAAUUACCGGUGUAGCGGUGAAAUGCGUAGAGAUCGGUAGGAACACCAGUGGCGAAGGCGGCUUUCUGGACUGAAACUGACGCUGAGGCGCGAAAGCGUGGGGAGCAAAC
rnacentral:rRNA from 1 species